rnacentral:rRNA from 1 species
AUUGAACGCUGGCGGCAGGCUUAACACAUGCAAGUCGAACGAGUGGCGGACGGGUGAGUAAUGUCUGGGAAACUGCCCGAUGGAGGGGGAUAACUACUGGAAACGGUAGCUAAUACCGCAUACCAUCGGAUGUGCCCAGAUGGGAUUAGCUAGUAGGUGGGGUAACGGCUCACCAAGGCAACGAUCCCUAGCUGGUCUGAGAGGAUGACCAGCCACACUGGAACUGAGACACGGUCCAGACUCCUACGGGAGGCAGCAGUGGGGAAUAUUGCACAAUGGGCGCAAGCCUGAUGCAGCCAUUCCGCGUGUAUGAAGAAGGCCUUCGGGUUGUAAAGUACUUUCGGCGGAGAGGCGUUACUCGCAGAAGAAGCACCGGCUAACUACGUGCCAGCAGCCGCGGUAAUUC